CCCUGAAGCUGCAGGAAACAAUGAAGGUUCUCCCAAAGAAAGACGGAAUUUCCAUGGCCGCACGAAUGAACGAGGACGAAAGAGAAAUCGUGAAUUUCUUCUGAUUUUCGUCAAGAAAAAUGUUCUCACCUUCUUCUGCCUCAAUUCCAUGCCUAAAUCCAUGAACAAAUCAACAUUGAACAUCAGAGCUCAAUCACCAUCACAAAAUUCGAAUUCAACCUUCAACUUCACCAAAAGUUCGAAUGAAAUCCAUGAAGGAAUUCAACUUCGAAUCCAAGAUGGAGCUUCACUAAAUUGAAUUUGAAUUUGAAUUGUUGCCUUCAUCAUCCGUCUUCACCAAAUCAGAAUUGAUCCACCAAAAUCAAAUUGCACACAGAAUCGAGAAGAAACGCGACCGUAUUCAACAGAUUCACAUUGAUUAAAGAAGCAAGAAGCGGAGGAAUAACUUACAGAUUCGAAGUGGAGAGAUUUUCCGAUGCGGUGGCUCGACGGCAACGACUUCACUGGUUGCAAAUGGUAUUGGUAUAGGUCCGUGACAUGAUGCAGACCAUGCAUUUCCAGAGUUAAUGAAAUGUUGUUAUGUUGCCAUGCUGACGCAGACGUGCUGCCAUGAUACCGCUUAAUGAACCUUAGCGUCAUGUCCCGUAAGGUUGCAGGCUGCCCUGUUACAAAUGUGACGAUAUCAAGCCAGUCAAUAAAACCUUGAACUCCCUAUGCCUUGGUGCAUAUGUAAACGACACACACGAGACUACAGUAGGCCAUUAGGAGCUUAUCUUCCAUGGCUGCUCUUUCACAUGUAAAGGUUUUAGGAUUGGGUUGCUUGGGCAUCUUGGUUUGUAUUCCAUGUUUGGACUAGUUUAGUGAGAUGGCCUAGUGAGGACUGAUGUACCAAUUCUGUUAUGAUGUUGUACCAAUGCUGGUUGGCUAUGACAUUCAAAUGCACGAUUCCUAGAGGCAUACCAUGAGGAUGAUGGUGGCCGACGACAGAUAGAUGGCCCAAAGUUCUUUCUCUCAAUUGUUCCUAGGGGUGUUCAAAACCAAACCAACUCAAUAGAAAACCGCAAACCAAACCAAACCAAACCAAAACCGCAAAAAACCGCAUUUGGUUCGGAUGCGUUUGGGUCAUUCUCUAACAAAACCGCACGGUUUGGUUUGGUUUGCGGUUUGUAUUUUUCAAACCGAACUAAACCAAACCAAACCGCAUUAUGUUACAACUCAAACUUCAAUUAUCCCACAUCCAAUCCAAAACUCAAACUUAGUAUGCCUUAACCUUACAAUUAAAAACUAUUUUCUCUUACUCACACUUAGGGUUUCAAUUUCAACCUUCUUAAAUCUCUCAUAGUAGUAUCGCACAUUCUUCUCAUCUUCUUUAUCAUGUAUGUUUCGCCUUUUCUAUUAUAAUAUUUCCUCUCUUAUGUUCUUUUUUUUUUACCUUUUAUGUUACUAUUUUCUCUUCCAAUUA